GGCAAAGUUGGAGAUGGUGUUUUUCGAGAUAGCAAAGUUCUGAGGAUUGGGGUUUAUUCACUGUAUCUUGGGAGACAUUUUUUGCCACUCAGAAUUUGUGUCACUGCAUCAAAACUGGAGAUGAUGUUGACGUCUUCUCGAGCUGCUGAAAUUUGACAUGACUGAAUGGAACUCCGGAUCAUUUCAGAUGGUCAUUAAUCACAUUGCUAUGAAUCCAAGAUACAGUGGGAUUCGCAUCCAGCCAGAACAGAGAAGCAGUCACUGGCAAUAUGUAAGAAGUGUCUGGAAGAGCAUUUAAAUCCCUCAGCAUUGAAGGCUACAGGCCAAAUGGUGGAAGUCAGGAUUAAUAUGGAUGGAUUCAUCUUGGCUGGCAUGGUGAUGAAACUUCUAAAUGGAAUUAGUGUCCAGACUGACUGACUUAAUCAAGACAGUUACAAAACAAGCAAGAACGACGGAACCAACCUGUUCAAAGGAAAACAUCAAACUCCCCAGAAAAAAUGUCUGUUUCCACCUGAACCAGCCUUCUGUUCUCUACAUUUGUCCUUAUAUGAUUAUUCGCUCUGUAUUUACUUAUCAUGUAGAUGUUUCUGAAAUGCUUUGUCUCAACAUGCUUCCCUUGAAUCAAUUCCAUUUGUCACUUAUGGCCCAAAACAUUAAUAUCAUCCUGAGACUCCUGCUUUCUUUCCGCCAACCAUAUUGUCAAGUUUCUGUACUGUCCAUAAACUUUCUAAUAUAUAUUUCUUUACUUGCCUGAAUAAUUGGUGUGAAACAAAAGUCAAGUGACCACAUGCAAACCACUUCAAGUCAUAACUAUUAUCUGUUGCUUUAUGACACUGAGCCAAUUUCAGGACUAUGUUGUCCAUUUCUGUUGAAUCCUAUGAACUUUUACUUUGUGAGAGUUUGUCAAAAGUUUUUCAACACCUAUGCAAACUUUAUCAUAGCUGAUUGUUGUUGAUAAAACAGUACCUUCCUAAAUAAUAACUUAGAUCUUCACUUAAAGUUCUUUCCCAGCAAUCUGCCUAAUAUUGAUUUUGGUCUUACUGACUUGUAAUUACUUAUUUUAUAAAUUCUCCCCCUCUACAUCCUUUUAAACAAAGGUGGAAUGUUGCAAGUUUCCUAAUCUUCUAGUCAGGAAGGAUUGGAAAAUGAUGGUUGAAAUCACUACUCUUUCCACCCUUACUUCUUGUUGCCGACUAAGAGACAUUUCAUUCAAAUUUGGUAAUUACUUUCAUAAAUGCUGAAUUUCUCAUUGAGCUUGAUCAUGCUCAACAUAGCCUGCAUCUAAUCCUAUGGAACACAGCAUUCAUAGUAUCUACUGCACUGGAGACUUCUGCUCCUGGACCAUUCUGUGUGGCAGAGCAACUACAAUGGGUGACCAAGUCUCACGCAACAGAACAAGAAGCUUUCCUUGUGUCUCCAGCAUAGUUCUUAGCCUUUGAUAGCUCAUCUGUAUCUAAUCUAUUUUUCAGAGGCAUUUAAAAUCUGUAUGAAUGGAUUUAAACAGUUAAAAUUAUUUUAAAUAAUAAUUGAAAUAGAAACAUUAAAUGUAUUUAAAGUAUAUUAUAAUAAACUAAUUGAAGCAUAAAUAUGAA